CUGCUUUAGGAAGAUCAACCGAGGGGGCAACUGGAGGAUGGAGUGGGAGAGGAAGCGCCUGGAGGAGCCGCCUUUCCAGAGGCGCAGGCUGCCGCGGCUGAAGGCAGGCAAAACGCCACAGCCCAGCUGUGCUGGAAGCUUGUCUGUUUUCCUGAACUCCCCGGAGGCGCUCCAUCCACUGCGCUCAUAACCCAAGGCCUGUUCUGAAGGCUUGCGAAGAGCAGAUAAAAUUAAGAUAUAACCCUGGCCAUGUCGCUCAGUUGGUUAGCAUGUCAUCUCGAUAUGUCAAGUUGCUGGUUCGAUCCCCGGUCAGGGCACAUAUAGAAGCAACCAAUGAAUGCAUAAAUAAGUGGAACAACAAAGCCAUGUUUCUCUCCUUCUCUCUCUC